GGCCUGAUGGUCUAGUAGUAUGAUUCCUUGUUAGGGUGCAUCCGCACACAAUUCGAGGAGGUCCCGGGUUCAAUUCCCGGUCAGGCCC